CUUGUAAACUUCAUAGUUCCUACUUCCGAGCGAGUAGCUAACACAGCCGCCGAGUAGCUUCAAGUCAUUCACCGUGGAGGACCGCCCGGGGGAGCAGUGGGUGCGCCUCCACGCCAGCGCGGGAGGGGGAGGCGAGGAGGUGAAGGUCGAGGCCACCAUGUUCGACGGCGCUGCGGAGCGUGUCCCGGACGACGCGCCCCUCUUCCGCCGCGUCGAGUCGCUCGAGCGCGGGCCCCGCCUCCACCUCAGCCUCAUCGUCGAGGUCGCCCGGGGCGACCGCGUCCUCGGCUUCGUCUGCUCCGCCUGGCCCGACGACCUCGCCGUCCGCCACGUGCUCACGUUCGCAGCUAGCGGCGGCAGCAGUGGUGGUGGUCGUCGUGGUGGGCGCGAUUUCGAGAAACUAUGGGGCGAGGAGAGGGAAGCAGUGACGAAGUUCUUGAAGGAGAGGCAUUGAAUCAAUUCUUGGUUGUGUAAUGUUGUUUUAGAAAAAAAAAUGGGUUUCUUACCAGUUCCACAAGUCGUUGAAAAAAUAAUUUAACUGUUUACUACAUGGUGAACCACAAUCAAUCUUUUUUUCCUGAAAUGACUUCAAAGUUUCUAAAAAUACUAAAAAAAGUGCUAGCUACAGGUCAUAUAGAGCAACAUCUUCCAUCUUAUGGAGCAUAAUCAGUUUCACUAAUAUACGGCCAACCAUACUAUGGCAAUUUAUUUCCACAUCUGUUAGACCAAGAGAGUCAUCUUCUCCAAUGACUGAAAUGAGAUGAGGGAGAGAAAAAUUCCAGUUCUUGUCGGGAUUACAAUAUUAUUUGUUGUUCAUGUAUCUGGAUUUUACUGGUGUUACAAGAACGGGGAUCUUAUAAGACCUCUCAUGAUGCUUCCUCCAAAAGAAAUACCACCAUUUUGGCACGCAAUAUUCAUCAUCUUGGUGAACGAUACAAUGGUGCGCCAAACUGCUAUGGUUGUCAAAUGUUUACUGCUGAUGUACUAUAAGAACAGCAGAGGCCGUAGCUAUCGUAGGCAGGGUCAAAUGUUGACGAUUGUGGAAUAUUUUCUACUUUUGUACCGUGCAUUAUUGCCUACACCUGUGUGGUACCGUUUUUUCCUGAACAAGGAGUAUGGAAGCCUAUUUUCGUCUCUAACCACUGGCUUGUAUCUCACUUUCAAGUUGACAUCUGUUGUGGAAAAGAUUGGAAAAGGAUGGUGCGUAGCUGCAAAAGAGAGGACAUCUUGCUUGUGUGCUCGCAAGAAGGAUGCAAAGGAUCUGUGAUGAUCAGCUGCUGUUUUGGGUUCUUGUCAUGUAACAUCUCCUAUUUUUAAAGAGCAAAACUGAAAAUGCAGUUCCGGUCUUGUUGAUGAACCGCUAGAGACUUAAUGAUUUUAUAUGGU